AGAACUAUGAGCAAGAAACCAAAGACAUAAUAAAACCGUCCAAGCCAGAUGCUAGAAAGGAUGAAGAACAGCUCGAUGAAAAGGGUUCCAAAUGGAAGAGUUCCAGCACCAAGAACAAGAAGCCAUGAUGGGUAUUUGCGAGCCGGAAUUUCCCUUGGGAUCUGGUUGGUUCGGACUGGGUACUGAAUUGCCUCAGCUCGUGUCCCAAGGAAUCCUCCCAAAAGGGUGAGUGGCACUGAAACACAGAACCACAGGGCCAGAAGUACAAAAU
rnacentral:misc_RNA from 1 species